rnacentral:ncRNA from 1 species
CUCUGUUUCGAAAGAUCCAGGGCGGAAGGAG